AGGCAGCAGUAGGGAAUUUUCGUCAAUGGGCGCAAGCCUGAACGAGCGAUGCCGCGUGAGUGAAGAAGGCCUUCGGGUCGUAAAGCUCUGUUGCGGGGGAAAAAAGGCAGCAUCAGGAAAUGGGUGCUGACUGAUGGUGCCCCGCCAGAAAGUCACGGCUAACUACGUGCC
rnacentral:rRNA from 1 species